CAUCUAAGCACGAAGCCGGCUUCAAGAUGAGACCUCCAUUGAGGGUCGUUGAAGACUACGACGUUGAUAGGAGGCAGGUGUAAAGACAGUGAUGUCAAAGCCGAGCCUUACUAAUUGCCCGAUAGCUUUUUUAAU
rnacentral:rRNA from 1 species